GAGUUUGAUCCUGGCUCAGAACGAACGCUGGCGGCGUGCUUAACACACGCUUGUCGAACGGUAACAGGUCUAGCUUGCUAGAUGCUGACGAGUGGCGCACGGGUGAGUAAUGCAUAGGUAACGUGCCCCUUAGUCUAGGAUAGCCACUGGAAACGGUGAUUAAUACUGGAUACUCCUUCUUCCUUAAUGGAAGUUGGGAAAGUUCUUCGCUAAGGGAUCGGCCUAUGUUGUAUCAGGUAGUUGGUGAGGUAAUGGCUCACCAAGCCUAUGACACAUAGCGGGUCUGAGAGGAUGAUCCGCCACACUGGUACUGAGACACGGACCAGACUCCUACGGGAGGCAGCAGUGGGGAAUAUUGCACAAUGGACGAAAGUCUGAUGCAGCAACGCCGCGUGGAGGAUGACACAUUUCGGUGCGUAAACUCCUUUUAUAUGAGAAGAUAAUGACGGUAUCAUAUGAAUAAGCACCGGCUAACUCCGUGCCAGCAGCCGCGGUAAUACGGAGGGUGCAAGCGCUAUUCGGAAUCACUGGGCGUAAAGGGUGCGUAGGCGGUUUGAUAAGUCUGAUGUGAAAUCCUAUGGCUCAACCAUAGAACUGCAUUGGAAACUGUCAAACUAGAAUACUGAAGGGGCAGAUGGAAUUAGUGGUGUAGGGGUAAAAUCCGUAGAUAUCACUAGGAAUACCGAAAGCGAAAGCGAUCUGCUGGGAAGUUAUUGACGCUGAGGCACGAAAGCGUGGGGAGCAAACGGGAUUAAAUACUCCGGUAGUCCACGCCCUAAACGAUGAAUGCUAGUCGUCGGAAAGCUCGUCUUUUCGGUGAUGCAGUUAACACAUUAAGCAUUCCGCCUGGGGAGUACGGUCGCCAAGAUUAAAACUCAAAGGAAUAGACGGGGACCCCGCACAAGUGGUGGAGCAUGUGGUUUAAUUCGAAGAUACGCGAAGAACCUUACCAAGCCUUGACAUUGAUUGAAUUCACCAGAGAUGGAGAAGUGCCUUUCGAGGAACAUGAAAACAGGUGCUGCACGGCUGUCGUCAGCUCGUGUCGUGAGAUGUUGGGUUAAGUCCCGCAACGAGCGCAACCCUCGUCGUUAGUUGCUAACAGUUCGGCUGAGCACUCUAGCGAGACUGCCUUCGCAAGGAGGAGGAAGGUGAGGACGACGUCAAGUCAUCAUGGCCCUUAUGGCUUGGGCUACACACGUGCUACAAUGGGGCGUACAGAGAGUUGCGAUACCGCGAGGUGGAGCUAAUCUCAUAAAGCGUCUCUCAGUUCGGAUUGGACUCUGCAACUCGAGUCCAUGAAGCUGGAAUCACUAGCAAUCGUAGAUCAGCAAUGCUACGGUGAAUACGUUCCCGGGUCUUGUACUCACCGCCCGUCACACCAUGGGAGUUGAUUUCACCCGAAAUCGGGAUGCCAAACUGGCUAAAGGGUACGGUGGAAUUAGCGACUGGGGUGAAGUCGUAACAAGGUAGCC
rnacentral:rRNA from 1 species